GACCGGUUACCUAUACCGACCAUCUUCAUUACAUGGUAGGUUGGAUCGGUUACCUAUACCGACCAUCUUCAUUACAUGGUAGAUUGGAUCAGUUACCUAUACCGACCAUCUUCAUUACAUGGUAGAUUGGACCGGUUACCUUUACCCACCAUCUUCAUUAUAGGGUAGAUUGGAUAGGUUACUUAUAUUGACCAUCGUCAUUACAUGUUAGAUUGGGCAGGUUACCUCUACCGACUGUGGCGGACCGCCUGGUACGCCAACUAGGUGCCUCCACCAAUCGAUGCUUCCUUAGUGGUUACCAAGUGUGGCGAAAUUAACAUCGCCACUUGUGCCUGGAGAGUACGACUUGCCAGCCUUUUGCCAUGUGAUUAUGGUCCCUGGGAGGUUUGGCCCUUUAAAUACAAGAUUUGGGCAUAAUGGAUUUGUGUUGUGCUGCUGCUGACCCUUUAAGAACCAUCUGGGGACAUAGUGUGACUUUUGGGAACAUUGCCCCUAAUAUAAUAUACUGUGUUCCUGGCUUUCUCCCACUUGGUUUAGUAAAUGGGGCUUACUGAACCUUUGUUCUUUGUUAAUGCGAACGAGGUCAGCGGUGUGUGUAGCCAAAUUCAUGGAACUGAAAUCGGCUACACAGUUCCGCGAACACCGCUGACCUGGACCUUCUCCCACAAUGAUUUUGCAGCCACAGAGACUAAGUCCCGUUCAGCGAUCGUUUUUUCAGCCUGAAAUAGACCGACCGCACAGCCCAAAUCUAUGGAACUGUGAAAUCUAUGGUCAAAAAGGGACCUCCAGCUAACUUUUUAACUCCUGGAUGGAAUUGGCUGAAUUUUGGAUAUGUUUAUAAUUAAAGUGUACUGAGUUCAAAUAUGUAAUUUUUAUGUUUGUGGCAUGUAUAUUUUUGAAGUUAUUAAUAUUUUGUAAAAACUGUAUUUCUCUGCCUGUGAUAAUUAUAUUAACCCAUUGUGUUCAGUAAUCAUAUCACAGGCAGAGGGGAGGAUUUUGUGUGGGAUGUAACCAGUGUGUGAUGGGGUAAUUUCUAAUUGUAUGUGGGCGUCUCUCUUGCAUGGGGGAAUUGCAUAAAAGCAGAGUGUGUGUCAUUAUAAAUCAGUCUUGUUCCAGCAUUAA